AGGUUCAUGGUCCUAUUGGUUUAGGAUGCCCCUUUCAUAAAGGGAGGUGCAGGUUCGAGUCCUGCUGAGCUAA
rnacentral:tRNA from 1 species